GAGGUGAGGAACGGGGGAGGAACAUGUGACAACUGGAGCUCUUCGAGGCGCCUCCUCCUCCUCUCGUCGUCCGCCGCCAUCUUUUCCUCCAGAUCCGGCGUCUCCAGGUUCAGGUUCAGGAUCCUCAAGUGUUUCUGCUUCACGUCUGCUGUGUUAAAGUUACUUCUGGUCAGAUGAGGAGCUGCAGGCGACGCCUGCGUCUGUUUGUGUAAAGCAACGACGUCCUCACACGUCCUCAAGGUCGCUGCGUGUCGAGCUCUCGGAGACGCCGUUCGGCUGGAACUCAUCACCAAAAAAAAAAAAAAAGGCAAGAAAACACUCAAGAAAUACGAACAUUAAAAAGGCAGAAACUUGAUUAAUUUAAAGACUCUGUUCAU